ensembl:snRNA U6 U6 spliceosomal RNA
UCCUAUGAGACCAUUUUACAUUGGUGUAUAUCCAGAGAAGACUAGCAUGGCCCCUGCACUAGGAUGACACACAAAUUCAUGAAGCGGUUCAUGUUUUU